AAGUGGUGCCUCACGAUCCUUGUGGCUUUUUGAGUUUUAAGCCAGAGGUGUCAGAAAGGUUACCAUAGGGAUAACUGGCUUGUGAUGGGCAAGUGUUGAUAGCAACGCCGCUUUUGGAUCCUUCCAUGUUGGCUCUUCCUAUCAUUGUGAAGCAGAAUUCCCCAAGCAUUGUUCACCCACUAAUAGGAACGUGAGCUGGGUUUAGGCCAUCGUGAGACAGGUUAGUUUUCCCCUACUGAUGCUGUGUUGUUGCACUAGUAAUCUUGCUCAGUAGGGGAGGAAGUAGGGGAGUUCAGAGCCCUGGUGUGUGCACUUGGCUGAGGAGCCAGUGGUGCGAGGCUCCCCUGUGCAGGCUUCUGCCUGAACGCCUCUAAGUCAGAAUCCCACCUAGACGUAGCAAUACCACAGCACCGCUGGCGCCUCAGU
rfam:Phoenicopterus ruber ruber contig79020, whole genome shotgun sequence.